rnacentral:rRNA from 1 species
UUCCUACGGGAGGCAGCAGUAGGGAAUCUUCGGCAAUGGACGAAAGUCUGACCGAGCAACGCCGCGUGAGUGAAGAAGGUUUUCGGAUCGUAAAACUCUGUUGUUAGAGAAGAACAAGGAUGAGAGUAACUGUUCAUCCCUUGACGGUAUCUAACCAGAAAGCCACGGCUAACUACGUGCCAGCAGCCGCGGUAAUACGUAGGUGGCAAGCGUUGUCCGGAUUUAUUGGGCGUAAAGCGAGCGCAGGCGGUUUCUUAAGUCUGAUGUGAAAGCCCCCGG